rnacentral:rRNA from 1 species
GAUGAACGCUGGCGGCGUGCCUAAUACAUGCAAGUCGAGCGAACAGACGAGGAGCUUGCUCCUCUGACGUUAGCGGCGGACGGGUGAGUAACACGUGGAUAACCUACCUAUAAGACUGGGAUAACUUCGGGAAACCGGAGCUAAUACCGGAUAAUAUAUUGAACCGCAUGGUUCAAUAGUGAAAGACGGUUUUGCUGUCACCUAUAGAUGGAUCCGCGCCGCAUUAGCUAGUUGGUAAGGUAACGGCUUACCAAGGCAACGAUGCGUAGCCGACCUGAGAGGGUGAUCGGCCACACUGGAACUGAGACACGGUCCAGUCUCCUACGGGAGGCAGCAGUAGGGAAUCUUCCGCAAUGGGCGAAAGCUUGACGGAACAACGCCGCGUGAGUGAUGAAGGUCUUCGGAUCGUAAAACUCUGUUAUUAGGGAAGAACAAAUGUGUAAGUAACUAUGCACGUCUUGACGGUACCUAAUCAGAAAGCCACGGCUAACUACGUG